rnacentral:tRNA from 1 species
GCCGCGGUGGCACAACCUGGUACUGCGCAGGAUUGCUACAGAUUGUGAACAUCCUGUUUCCUUCGGGAUUUGUGGGUUCAAAUCCCAUCCGCGGCG